GUAAGCAAGUAGAUAAAGUGACAACUAAUAAGUCACCGAGUAUAGUUUUGUGACUAACAGAUCAAGUAAACCUGUAGUCACUACUCGGUCAUUCGUUUAAAAUUUAAUUCCCAUUUUAACCUCUACCAAUGCAUAUAUAACAGAAACACUUCAGAGGUUUCUUCAUCUUUCUUUCAAUAGCUCCCGUCUCUGUAAUAAUACAAGAAAAAUAGCUAAAACGACGUCGAAAACUAACCAUGAUUAAUGCUGCUGAAGCUAUUGUUGGUGGAUCCAUGUGGGCUUCGAUGACCAGCUGCUUAACACCAACUGUUCUCUUCUGCAUCUUGAACCUCACCAUAGUUACCAUUUUCAUCACUUCAUCCCUCGAAAAACCGCACGAACUCGGUGAUGACGAAGACGAAUCGCCGCCGAAACUCAUCCGAGUCAAGUCAAUCAACUUCUCUACGUACAGCUCCGAACAGCCCUACCCGUUUGACUCCGCAGCCAGUCACGCCACGGCUCCACCUCAAGAACCAACUCAUCUGCAAAAAUCUGAAUGUGUGGAAGAGAGUCACGUGAAUAGGAGUAGGUCCGACACUAGCGUGAAUGUUCCGGAGAGAAGGGUGUUGAAGAAGUCCGCGAGUGAGAAGGUGUUUGCGGCUGAGCGGCAGGAAGAGGAGGAUCGACUGCGGCCGGCAACGGUGAGGGAAACUACGUCGUGUAAUGGGACGGAGGAGGAGGAAGUGGAUGCUAAAGCUGAUGAUUUUAUUAACAGGUUUAGGCAACAGUUGAAAUUACAGAGGAUGGAGUCAAAUUUGAGGUACCAAGAGAUGACGAAUCGGCUUCGGAAUUGAAGCAUAUUUUUGUCACUGCUUAAUCUCAAUAGCUAUAAUUUUCAAUUGCUUGAUAUUGAAAUGAAUUCAUUUUUCUUUAGUAAGUGCUUGUUUGUGCCCCCAUUAUUUGUGAGUAAUAUAUUAUAGAAUAUUAAACUUGUAAUAUCAUGCUCUUUAUAAGCAAGUAAUAUUCUUUUGAAAUAUCAAUAAUAUUGUGCUACUUUAGGAGUAACAACGAACUAUUUAUAAUAGAUAGAUAUAUAAUUAAUAUUCUUAUGGAAUAUUAAUUAUAAUGUUGUGCUAUUUUUAUAAUAACAACAUGAUAAAUUCUUAAUUUGAAGUUCAUAGAAGAAUAUCUAAAAAUAUUUAAUUAUCAUUUAGACAUGAUAUGAAUUUAUCUAGAAAAAUUAAUUACCCAAAUGCAUUAGAAAAAAGAAUAUCUAUAUAUAGAAGUUAACAAAAUUGGCUAAAUCUUUUACCAGCAUACAAAAGAUACUAAACAUACAUAUGAAUUUCACAUAUAUAGAAAUUAAAGAUAGAACUAAUAUGUGACAGAUUCAAAAGAUAUAAUUAAUACUAAAUAAUAUGUGAAAAAUGAUCGUGUAUGAAUAAAAAUAACGUGAAUUAAUAUGUGUUUAGAUUACACAUACAAACGUGAUUUAGAAUUAAUAUUCCCAUGAAAAGUAGAGAAGAAGAAGCAAUCUCAUUAUGAUGCAAUAUGUAUAUUGAAAUAUUUCACAUACUACAAAAUUAAUUUUGGUACACGUGAUAAAUAUUUAUGCCUAUAAAAAUUAUUACUUUCACUAAAUUCUAAAAAAUUAAGCUAUCGUACUGAUAACGUAUUAUGAAAAGAUAGAAAAAAAAAAUAGAGAGAAGUCAAUAGACUUAUGUGUAUUUUAUUAUUAACAACCAAAACCCUGUAUUUAUAGGACAAAAUCAGGGAUACAAUAAUAAUAAUUUCUAUGGUUGUGGGGGUAUAAUUGUCAUUCAACUCUAAACCCUAAUAAGCUUACCUUUAACAACACAUUAUUCUUUUGUUAUAUAAUACUUUCUCCAUUUUAUUUAUAUAGACGGGUUUUAUUUUCCAAACGGAUUAAGAAAUCUUAUUUAUUAAUGGUAUUGAAAAAGUAAUUUUUGUCUAUAUGUUUCCUAAUCUACCCUUAUUUAUACUUAUACAAUUUUAAGAUUAUGUGCAAAAAAAUAGUUAUAAUUAGACAAAUUAAGUAAAUGUAUAUCAGAAAAUGAACAAAAUAAAACAUCCUCAAUAAAGAAAUAUGACUAUAUAAUUGGGACAAAAAAAAUAAGGAAAUGCAGUUUGUAUAAAUGGGACUAGGAGAGUAGUUGAUAUAUUCUCUCCGUCUUCUAAAGUUAGGUUUACUUCUUUUUAAUUUUUUUAAAAUUUUUUUGGGUAUAUCCCAAAUUAUAGGCAACUUUCUUUGUUGAGAGUAUAAUUGAUUUCUUAACUUUCUAAUAUGCCUCCAUUUAAUGUGUCCUGUUAACAAUAAAUAUGAAUAACUCAUAUUUAAACUAUUAUUUAUUGUAGGAGUAUAUUAUAAAAAAAAUAUGCAAAAUUUAUUUUUCCUAGUUCCAACUAUAUGAAUUACAUUUUCUUAAUCAGUUUGAUAAUGGAAGGAAGCGUAUUUCUAUAGGACAGAAUGAGUAUAAAAUAUAUAAUACGUAAUACUCCCUUCGUCCAAUAAAGAAAUGCUCAUUUAUAUUUUAACUUGGAUUGAUAAAAUAAUUAUUACACUAGAAAACAUUAAUAUUACUUACUUUUAUUCUAAUAUUUCAUACAUUACAUCAUAAUUCAGAUAAAAUUAGUUCAUUUUUGUUGAUAACAAUGUACAUUAAAAUCUUGUUUGACCCACCUUUUUAAAAAAAAAUACAUUUUAAAUAGUGAUUUAACAUCAUUUCAAUCACACAAUUUUCAAUAAAAUAAUAUUAAACGCAAAUUCAAAAUAUUUUCUUAUUUUUUAACCGUACGUUUUCCAUCAAUACGCUGUUAAAAAAUGCAUUCUUAUGAAAAUAAUGUGACUUAAACAAGGGUUAAAGAUGAACAUAUUAUGAAAUUAAGAAAUUAUUUAUAUUCUCAACAAGAAAAAAUGAUAUAUAAUAUUAUAUUUAUAUGUUAAGCAAUGGUAGCUCUCCAAUUAUUGUGAAUUGGGUCAAUUGUAUUUAAGUCUUCGUUUCCCACUAGGCGCGUGGAAAUUAUUUUAUUAAUAAUAGUAAAUGCUGGUUUACCAUGAUCACAUCACAUGAAUGCUGGUCCAAAUUUCAAGUGUGAACAUGUUGAUAUGUCAGUCUAAAUAUCGAGUAUGAACAUUGGUGGAAAGAGUACAAAUUUCUUACUUACUCUCCAUCUGUUUGUCCCUUCCAGUUGAAAAUAUCCAUCAGUUUGUGGCUCUUUUGGCUAAAGGAUUAGAUUGGAUUCAAAUUCAAUUUGACUCAAUUCAUGGAAACUAUAGAAAGUUUAGCUGUCAUCAACACAAAAAUCAAAAUCACAAUAAUCAAAUAAUAUAACUGAUGCAAUCAAUAAAUAAAGGGAAAAUUAGCAACAGUCUUUAAUCUUUUUUUCUUUUUUUUUUAAGACUUUACUUUAACCUUUACUUUUGUGUCAGCAGAUGUUCUUAAUUUUCAUAAAUAUGCACUUGAGACCCAUAUGGAUGCAAACCAUCCGAAAUACCGUCAGUUGACGAGAAAAAAUUGUCUAAAAAGGUAUUAGCAUCCAAUAAAAUCGUCGCGGUAGCAGAUAGCUCAAGGAGUUUUUUUUGUCAAUUGACGGUGUUUUGGAUGAUUUCCGUUCAGAUGGAUUUCAUGUGCAUAUUUAUGAAAGGUUAGAAUAAAGUCUGCAAAAAUGAAAAGACUAGGGAUCUUCUCAAAGAAUAAACUAUCCUUCAAAGUCUAUAAAGGAGAAAGGCGAAGUUAGGAAGCGAGUGAAGUAAUCCUAGGGUAAUAAAAAUCACUCUUCUUUCAGCUCUUGUGAAAUGGUCUCUGUGGUUCGCUUGCCCUUAUGACUAUGCUUUCUAUUCUAUGGCGUCGACUCUUACUUUCGUGGGAACAAGAAUAGCUAUGAUUUCAAAAGUUAUGAACUCUUCUCUCAGGUGGUUACUACAAUUUUCUCGUAAAUAAAGGUUAUAAGUGAACCAUUGGUUUUUUAUAAUGAUAUUUAAACAAGAAGUUAAAUAUAAAAGUAGCUAUCAUAUAAAAGACACCUGUAUAAAUAUAAUUUGUUGCACAAAAUAAACGAUAAAUUACGUCUUCGGUCACUGAACUAUCAUAGAAAUCUCCAUUGGGAUAGUAAACUUUAAUUGUCUCAAAUGUGCACUCAGUUAAGCCUUGUUUGGCUCUCAUUAAAUUACAUUUUAUUUUUUUUCUCUUAUUUUCAACCAUACGAUCUUCAAUAAAAUAAUAUUACACGUAAAUCGAAAAUUUUUCUUUCUUUUUCAACCACUCAUUUUUUUUAAAAAAAAAAUACUAUUUCAUUCAUUUUCAUUUCAAAAAAUAUGGACCAAACGGGGCUAAAUUUCACUAUUCUAUCACUAUCUUCUCCCAAAUUACUAAAAUUAUUUAAUUGACAAAUUGCAUACGUAACAUAACAUAUCUUCUACGUAAUCGGGCAUGACAUAUCAAUUGGUUAUUAUGCUACGUCAUAAAAAAAAUGUAUAUUUUCUUUUAACAUUUUAUUCACAACAUUAUUAUAAUUUCCAUUUAGCAUGAGUACUCUUUAAAUUCUUAUAUAUGAAAAUAAAAAAAUAAUUAAAAUUAAAGUAAAACUAAGCAUGAGUAGUAAGCAAGUAGAUAAAGUGACAACUAAUAAGUCACCGAGUAUAGUUUUGUGACUAACAGAUCAAGUAAACCUGUAGUCACUACUCGGUCAUUCGUUUAAAAUUUAAUUCCCAUUUUAACCUCUACCAAUGCAUAUAUAACAGAAACACUUCAGAGGUUUCUUCAUCUUUCUUUCAAUAGCUCCCGUCUCUGUAAUAAUACAAGAAAAAUAGCUAAAACGACGUCGAAAACUAACCAUGAUUAAUGCUGCUGAAGCUAUUGUUGGUGGAUCCAUGUGGGCUUCGAUGACCAGCUGCUUAACACCAACUGUUCUCUUCUGCAUCUUGAACCUCACCAUAGUUACCAUUUUCAUCACUUCAUCCCUCGAAAAACCGCACGAACUCGGUGAUGACGAAGACGAAUCGCCGCCGAAACUCAUCCGAGUCAAGUCAAUCAACUUCUCUACGUACAGCUCCGAACAGCCCUACCCGUUUGACUCCGCAGCCAGUCACGCCACGGCUCCACCUCAAGAACCAACUCAUCUGCAAAAAUCUGAAUGUGUGGAAGAGAGUCACGUGAAUAGGAGUAGGUCCGACACUAGCGUGAAUGUUCCGGAGAGAAGGGUGUUGAAGAAGUCCGCGAGUGAGAAGGUGUUUGCGGCUGAGCGGCAGGAAGAGGAGGAUCGACUGCGGCCGGCAACGGUGAGGGAAACUACGUCGUGUAAUGGGACGGAGGAGGAGGAAGUGGAUGCUAAAGCUGAUGAUUUUAUUAACAGGUUUAGGCAACAGUUGAAAUUACAGAGGAUGGAGUCAAAUUUGAGGUACCAAGAGAUGACGAAUCGGCUUCGGAAUUGAAGCAUAUUUUUGUCACUGCUUAAUCUCAAUAGCUAUAAUUUUCAAUUGCUUGAUAUUGAAAUGAAUUCAUUUUUCUUUAGUAAGUGCUUGUUUGUGCCCCCAUUAUUUGUGAGUAAUAUAUUAUAGAAUAUUAAACUUGUAAUAUCAUGCUCUUUAUAAGCAAGUAAUAUUCUUUUGAAAUAUCAAUAAUAUUGUGCUACUUUAGGAG
rnacentral:lncRNA from 1 species